UGGGGAAUAUUGCACAAUGGGCGCAAGCCUGAUGCAGCCAUGCCGCGUGUAUGAAGAAGGCCUUCGGGUUGUAAAGUACUUUCAGUCGGGAGGAAGGUGGUAAGGUUAAUAACCUUAUCAAUUGACGUUACCGACAGAAGAAGCACCGGCUAACUCCGUGCCAGCAGCCGCGGUAAUACGGAGGGUGCAAGCGUUAAUCGGAAUUACUGGGCGUAAAGCGCACGCAGGCGGUCUGUCAAGUCGGAUGUGAAAUCCCCGGGCUCAACCUGGGAACUGCAUUCGAAACUGGCAGGCUAGAGUCUUGUAGAGGGGGGUAGAAUUCCAUGUGUAGCGGUGAAAUGCGUAGAGAUGUGGAGGAAUACCGGUGGCGAAGGCGGCCCCCUGGACAAAGACUGACGCUCAGGUGCGAAAGCGUGGGGAGCAAACAGG
rnacentral:rRNA from 1 species